rnacentral:rRNA from 1 species
GAACGCUGGCGGCGUGCCUAAUACAUGUCAGUCGAGCGAAUUUUUGGGAGCUUGCUCCCAAAAGUUAGCGGCGGACGGGUGAGUAACACGUGGGCAACCUGCCUAUAAGACUGGGAUAACUUCGGGAAACCGGAGCUAAUACCGGAUAAUUCUUUUCUACUCAUGUAGGAAAGCUGAAAGACGGCUUACGCUGUCACUUAUAGAUGGGCCCGCGGCGCAUUAGCUAGUUGGUGAGGUAACGGCUCACCAAGGCAACGAUGCGUAGCCGACCUGAGAGGGUGAUCGGCCACACUGGGACUGAGACACGGCCCAGACUCCUACGGGAGGCAGCAGUAGGGAAUCUUCCGCAAUGGACGAAAGUCUGACGGAGCAACGCCGCGUGAGUGAUGAAGGUUUUCGGAUCGUAAACUCUGUUGUUAGGGAAAACCAUUACGGGAGAACUGCGGGGACCUUGCACAUCCCUACCAGA